AGAUCAGCCCUGGGGUUCAGAGGGAUCCUGACGGCUACUCCUCAAGAUCCUCUCUGUUGUGAUUCAUCCCCCCCAGGCCCUACAGUUUCUCCUUCCUGACUCUUACAUUUCUUUGGAUGGCAUCACUAUUUUAGUUGCCAAGCACUGUGGAUUCUACCCCUCAGGGUCCAGACACCCAUUUUCCUUCCCACUGUUCCCUCCCCAUGGAGAAGCCUGUGGCUGACUGACAGCUCAACUUGGAGAAGGUGUUACCUGGGCCAGGUGGGGAAGGUAGGGUUGUUUGCAGAGCAAAGAAGUGAAGCCUAUUCAAUGUGAAAAAGAUGAGGGCGAAGACCUUUAUGAUGAUCCAAGUAAUGAACACACUGGAGAAAGUCAAACAGUCAAAACAAUGUCCCAGACUCCGUGAAGUUCCUGGGUAGAGAAGUAGACAGACGUACACCAUACCUAAUAAUUGGAGGUCCAAGAGAAUGAGAGAAUGGCAGAAAGAACUUUAGAGCAUGGGUAUGAUGGCUAGAGCUUGAGCAGCCAUUGUGGACAUCAGAUGAACCUGAAAGUGAAAACUAUGAGCUGAAUAUGACAAAGCAAAUAGAAAACUGGAUUCAUGAUGACACUGCAAAGCUGCCAGACCAGCUCUAGUCUGCUUCUCCCUAAUCUUCCUUACUAAGAGAGAGAAAUAAACUUCCAUCUUCUUCAA
rnacentral:antisense_RNA from 1 species